UGUUUGCCACGCUGGUGAAUCUCGUGUAUGGCGCAGACAAACCUUAAUUGGUUAUGUUGAUGGAUGGGCAGGGUAUGCGUAAGCUGACACUACACAGUGCCUGAAUGCUGUUGGUCGCGGGUUGGAUGGCUGUGUUAGGGUUGUCGUCACCUUCUAUUGUGGGUGAGUGGCA